AGAGUUUGAUCAUGGCUCAGAUUGAACGCUGGCGGCAGGCCUAACACAUGCAAGUCGAACGGUAACAGGAAGAAGCUUGCUUCUUUGCUGACGAGUGGCGGACGGGUGAGUAAUGUCUGGGAAACUGCCUGAUGGAGGGGGAUAACUACUGGAAACGGUAGCUAAUACCGCAUAACGUCGCAAGACCAAAGAGGGGGACCUUCGGGCCUCUUGCCAUCGGAUGUGCCCAGAUGGGAUUAGCUUGUUGGUGGGGUAACGGCUCACCAAGGCGACGAUCCCUAGCUGGUCUGAGAGGAUGACCAGCCACACUGGAACUGAGACACGGUCCAGACUCCUACGGGAGGCAGCAGUGGGGAAUAUUGCACAAUGGGCGCAAGCCUGAUGCAGCGACGCCGCGUGAGGGAUGGAGGCCUUCGGGUUGUAAACCUCUUUUAUCGGGGAGCAAGCGAGAGUGAGUUUACCCGUUGAAUAAGCACCGGCUAACUACGUGCCAGCAGCCGCGGUAAUACGUAGGGUGCAAGCGUUAUCCGGAAUUAUUGGGCGUAAAGGGCUCGUAGGCGGUUCGUCGCGUCCGGUGUGAAAGUCCAUCGCUUAACGGUGGAUCCGCGCCGGGUACGGGCGGGCUUGAGUGCGGUAGGGGAGACUGGAAUUCCCGGUGUAACGGUGGAAUGUGUAGAUAUCGGGAAGAACACCAAUGGCGAAGGCAGGUCUCUGGGCCGUUACUGACGCUGAGGAGCGAAAGCGUGGGGAGCGAACAGGAUUAGAUACCCUGGUAGUCCACGCCGUAAACGGUGGAUGCUGGAUGUGGGGACCAUUCCACGGUCUCCGUGUCGGAGCCAACGCGUUAAGCAUCCCGCCUGGGGAGUACGGCCGCAAGGCUAAAACUCAAAGAAAUUGACGGGGGCCCGCACAAGCGGCGGAGCAUGCGGAUUAAUUCGAUGCAACGCGAAGAACCUUACCUGGGCUUGACAUGUUCCCGACAGCCCCAGAGAUGGGGCCAGAUCGGAAGAGCACACGUCUGAACU
rnacentral:rRNA from 1 species